CAUUUUGCAAAAGAGUCCUCGUUCGAGCGGAGAGACGGCUGCGCCGUCGUCUCACGAAGAGACGACGGGGGCUUGUGCUCCCAGGCUAAACCGACCGCUCCAGCACCACUGUGCGAAGGCGAGACGGCAAAGCUCGAUCCCUUGUGGCGGACUGUGGCUGAGGAGAUUUUGCGGGUGCCGCGUGGAAGCAUGGCGCCAAAAUCUUAAUCCUGUGCGCCAAUUUCCCCCAUAAAAUCAGGUUCCUCCCGGGUCCCCCUUCAGUUUCCAUCCGCGCCACUCCAAUUUCCAUCUGGAAUCGAUGAGACGAGAGGAGCGGGAGGGGGCGGCGACGCGGGAUCUGUUGGCGGCGGCGGCGGCUUAGGAGAAGAAGGGCGGCGGCGGCACUGCUGCUGCAAGGGCACAGAAGGGCGCAACAGUGAGAGAAGGAGCUGCACCGAGGAUGCUGCAAGGGCGCGGAAGGAGCUGCGGCGGCACUGCACGGGAAGGGUGCAGCAGCGGCGGAAGGAGCUGCCCCUCCUCAAUCCACGUCUUCCUUCCUCACCGGCACCCCCACCUCCAUGGGGUUCUUUCCCCCAACGAUUGCACCAGGCUAGGGUCAAGGCGUUGGUGGCAGCCCGAUGUCUCAUCCAUGGAUGCAUUCUCAGGCUUUGGAUCCGACAUCAUAGAUCCGACAAAAAAUCCGGAGAAGUAAAAGGUGAGGUCGCCAAGCCGAUCUCACGGCACAAAAGUCCAGAAGUUCAACAGGAGAUCGAGGAGAGCUGCCGCAGUUGCGUGGCUAGUGGCUACUCCGCCACACUACUUUUUCUCCUCGUAACUAGCAACUGAAACUCUGAAAGAGGUGACAAAAUAUAUAUGGACAUGGCCAAGAAAGAAGCCUGUUCAACCAUAGCUUUGUGUGCAUAUACUGUAUGUAGGUGGAGAAAGUAACUGCCACCAGUUAUCCAAAGAAUUCAAUGGUUUACCUAAUAGUUGACACUAUUUUUUCAAGUAUGCUCGAUAGUCGUUGGUAUGCUGGUGUUUGCUUAUUGUCUAUCAAGAGCCUGGAUAUUGAAGUUUAA